UACGUAGGGUGCAAGCGUUGUCCGGAAUUAUUGGGCGUAAAGAGCUCGUAGGCGGUCUGUCGCGUCUGCUGUGAAAACCCGCGGCUUAACCGCGGGCUUGCAGUUGAUACGGGCAGGCUAGAGUUCGGUAGGGGAGACUGGAAUUCCUGGUGUAGCGGUGAAAUGCGCAGAUAUCAGGAGGAACACCGGUGGCGAAGGCGGGUCUCUGGGCCGAUACUGACGCUGAGGAGCGAAAGCGUGGGGAGCGAACAGG
rnacentral:rRNA from 1 species